UACGAAGGGGGCUAGCGUUGCUCGGAAUUACUGGGCGUAAAGGGAGCGUAGGCGGAUAGUUUAGUCAGAGGUGAAAGCCCAGGGCUCAACCCUGGAAUUGCCUUUGAUACUGGGUAUCUUGAGUAUGGAAGAGGUAAGUGGAAUUGCGAGUGUAGAGGUGAAAUUCGUAGAUAUUACGCAGGAACACCAGUGGCGAAGGCGGCUUACUGGUCCAUAACUGACGCUGAGGUGCGAAAGCGUGGGGAGCAAACAGG
rnacentral:rRNA from 1 species